AUUGAACGCUGGCGGCAGGCUUAACACAUGCAAGUCGAGCGGGGUGAUGGUGCUUGCACUAUCACUUAGCGGCGGACGGGUGAGUAAUGCUUAGGAAUCUGCCUAUUAGUGGGGGACAACAUCUCGAAAGGGAUGCUAAUACCGCAUACGUCCUACGGGAGAAAGCAGGGGAUCACUUGUGACCUUGCGCUAAUAGAUGAGCCUAAGUCGGAUUAGCUAGUUGGUGGGGUAAAGGCCUACCAAGGCGACGAUCUGUAGCGGGUCUGAGAGGAUGAUCCGCCACACUGGGACUGAGACACGGCCCAGACUCCUACGGGAGGCAGCAGUGGGGAAUAUUGGACAAUGGGGGGAACCCUGAACCAGCCACGCCGCGUGUGUGAAGAAGGCCUUAUGGUUGUAAAGCACUUUAAGCGAGGAGGAGGCUCUUUUGGUUAAUACCCAAGAUGAGUGGACGUUACUCGCAGAAUAAGCACCGGCUAACUCUGUGCCAGCCGCCGCAGUAA
rnacentral:rRNA from 1 species